UUUUAUUUACCAACCCUAGAUUCUUCCCUUUUUUUUAUUUCUCAUCUCUUUCUUCUCCACUUCUCACCAUUGUUGCUGCUACAGUGGAAAUUAAAAAAUGAUAUUUUUUUAUUUUUUCUUUUCAACUUAUACACCUAAAUUAAAUUAAUAAAUAAUAAUAAUAAUUAUAAUUAAUUAAAAAAAAACGUCUUUUCCCCAUCUUCCUCCCUCCAAUUGUUCUUCCAUAUUUUUCCCUUUUUUUUUUAUUUUUUAUGUAGAUCUAAUUAAGGUCUUAAAUAUUCCGACAAAGCUCCAUUGUUUCCGAUGAAAAUAAUAUUCCAACAAAGUUAUUGAUUAUUUUUUUAUGUAAUUGUGAUAAUGAUGACUAGUGAAAGAAGAUGAAGACCAUGAAUGAAAGGUUUAAUACCAAUAGAAUGAAAGGUGAUUGAGGGGUUAGCUUAGAUGGAUAGCAAUGGUAUAUUAUUGACGCCGGUGAAAGGGAUAAGAUUCGAUUGAGAAGAAGAAAUGGGUGGAGGCUAUGAUUUAGUGGCAGUUGAGGUGCAGUGUCUCAAUGCUUAGGAAUUAAGAUCCGACACAUUGAAAAUGGAAAUAAGUAGCGGUUGAGGUGCAGCGGCACUGUGGAAUUGGAAAUAAGUUCCAAUGGAGAAGAAGAAGGGUGGAGUGGGGGUGGGUUAAUUUAAUAUAUAUUUUUGUUUUCUUGAAGUUCCUUUUGAA
rnacentral:lncRNA from 1 species